UGAAGUAUUGUGACUGCUCCUUUUUUGUGCUUCUAAUCUGUGAUUGGAAUGUUGAACCUGACAUUUUGACACUUUCUUACCCUCAAUUGCGGCAAGUUUUGUUUGUCAAAUUGUAAUAUAGUUCUUACUUGUGAUGGUAGCUCCUAUGUAGAAUUAAAUUGAAUUAGAUUUGUACCUGCAAAACUGAAAAUAUGGUUAGUUAAAA
rnacentral:lncRNA from 1 species